rnacentral:rRNA from 1 species
UGGGGAAUAUUGGACAAUGCGGGAAACCGUGAUCCAGCAAUGCCGCGUGAGUGAUGAAGGCCUUAGGGUUGUAAAGCUCUUUUACCAGGGAUGAUAAUGACAGUACCUGGAGAAUAAGCUCCGGCUAACUCCGUGCCAGCAGCCGCGGUAAUACGGAGGGUGCAAGCGUUAUCCGGAAUCACUGGGCGUAAAGGGCACGUAGGCGGUCUAGUAAGUCCGAUGUUAAAGCGUGGGGCUCAACCCCAUCACGGCGUUGGAUACUGCUAGGCUUGACGACUGGAGAGGUGAGUAGAAUUACCAGUGUAGCGGUGGAAUGCGUAGAUACUGGUAGGAAUACCCAUUGCGAAGGCAGCUCACUGGACAGUACGUGACGCUGAGGUGCGAAAGUGUGGGGAGCAAACCGGAUUAGAUACCCCUGUAGUCC